AACCAAUACAUGUGGUCCGUUUCGUCGCUCCCUUCGUCCCACCUCCUUCGUCGCGCGUCGGAAAAUUCGCCUUUCAAAUAAGUGCCCCGAAAAUUCCGCCAUCAAAUCCUCCAUCGAUCGAUCUUCCGCCGGUAAUCCAUACCCCAUCUCAUUCGCUCUCUAUUUCCAUGCUUCGUCGUCGCGGCGCCGCCCUAUAUCCACGCCUCAGCCCUUUGCGCGCCUCCACGGUCCACACCCACCGCGCAUUUGCACCAGCCUCAAACCUCCGGCUCCACGACCCACUCGUCAAGUGCCGGCGUUGAAUCUCCUGCCUCUCUAGCGAUGGAAAGGAUCUAGGCCAACCCUUCUCAAUCCUGCCAACACGAACGCGUGGGGGAGGAGCUGCACAAAUCCUCCAGCGACAGUACCAAGUUCCUGUGAAUCCAAGAUCGCUCCCAACAACAAGGAUUGAGAAACAGAUCCGGUUGAUUGCUUUUCGUUUUUAUGAGGUUGGAGAGUUUCGGGAUGAAUAGGUUAGUACCACUAAUGUGGCCCUUGUAGGCAAACGGGAUGAAUCCAAUACAGAUUUAUGGGUUUGUUUACAACGAGCGACUUUGCCUUUAUCACAAUAUGUUCAGGCUGCACUGAGUAUUGGAUCCGCAAGACCUACAAAACCUGAAUACUACCUUAUUUUGUUUAUUAUCGGGGUUCACAACUUCCAUUCCUUGUGUAUUUGUGCAAUAUGCCAAUAUGGAUAGUGAUAUGUGUACUGAACUCCCAAAAGUAUCUUCGAGAUAUUGGUGUUCUUAUAAACCUGGUUGGCUCUUGGUUGGUCUUCGUAUUUAAUUGGUUCACUACAACACGUAUCUACAUGGCAUUCUUUCAUCUUCACAUACCCGGUUGCUACAUGCAUGGACAAUCAUCAUAAUUUGACUGUGAACCUAAAUUUUUGUCCUUCAAAUAUUCCUCCCAGGUGAGCCAUAGUGCGAAUGCAUUUUGAUCUCCGUCAGGGGAAUGUACCCCUUUAUUGAGCAUUUUCAUCCCCCUUUUAUCUUCAGAUAUCUGUCUUUUUUCUUUCUCGCCUAUUGCGGUAUGGUGAAAAGAAGCAGGUGAUCUGAGUUGAUUCAGUUUUGACAUUAUCGCUACAAGAUUUUAAAUAAUGCGCAUUGAAAUUGCAACUCCAUUUCACUUCUGAAUAAUGUCUUCGGCCAUGGUAUAAACAAUUAAAAAUUACUGAAGAUGCAAAGGUAUGACGCAAUUCAUCCUUGGAUUUUAUUAUAGCAAAACAUGUUAUUGUAUUCAGGUCUACAUUUAUUGCAACCUGUGAAUCUUUGUCGGAACAUGAGUAUUUAAAAUAUACGGAGUAUUGUUUUUGCAGGUAAUCUUUCCCCGGUGAAUGAAACUGUUGUGCCGACAAUAAAAAACCUUCAUAUUGAGAAUAAAAAGGUAAUUUUUGUCUUAACUAUUUUAAUAUUCUUUAAGAAAUGUCUUGAAAGAAUAGCAUAUGUAUUUACUUUUGAGUUCUUGAUUCAAAUUUUCAAAUCUAUAUUUCCAAUUUUUCAUUGGCACUACUGUUCAUACUAAACCUGUCACUGUUAGCAAAUAUAUAGUACUGCAACAGUUGGUGCUACUAAUUGGAUGUAUCUCUUGUACUUAAGUUGCUAUUACCUCUAUUCCAAAUCUUAACUAGCAUUCUAAAAUGGCAUACAUUUUGUAAAGGAUGUAGUACUUGUUACCGUUGUGCUACAUCUCAAGACCCAGUUAUGAUGUCGAUCUCGCCAUUUCCAGACAGUAGGUUUUAACAUGGGAUCGACCGAUUGAGUUUAGCCAUCAUAUUUAAACCACCUUUGUCCAAGACAAUGGAGGAUGAAAACAGUCUCAUUAGAUUGUGAUUUGUGAAUCAAGGUUGGCUCUAGAAUUAGUAUAGAAAAAGGCAUCUUCCUAUCUAUGUGGUGGUAGGCAGCUGUAAGGUUUGCAUUUCUCUCAAUAAAUUGGUGCUUCAGUGUCGUUUACUGAUUUUCAUGGUUUAUCGCAUUUAUAACAUCUUUCUGUAAAUUCGUUAGGUCUAAUGAGUAUCAAAUUGUAUGAAAAGUUACAGAUCCGCAUGAGAAAAGUGAAGAAGACUGAACUUUAGUUUUAGACUUUUUUUGGGUUGUUGAUGCCUGACACGUAAGUGCCUUCACCGUUGCACUGUAAGAACAUGGUUUUAGAAUCCAUAUCUCUACUGCCAGCACCUUUAUUUUUACUAGCCAUUUCCGCCUACAAUUAA